rnacentral:rRNA from 1 species
UCGUUCCUACGGGGCGCAGCAGUGGGGGAUAUUGCACAAUGGGGGAAACCCUGAUGCAGCGACGCCGCGUGGGUGAAGAAGCGCCUCGGCGCGUAAAGCCCUGUCAGCAGGGAAGAAAAUGACGGUACCUGAAGAAGAAGCCCCGGCUAACUACGUGCCAGCAGCCGCGGUAAUACGUAGGGGGCAAGCGUUAUCCGGAUUUACUGGGUGUAAAGGGGGCGCAGACGGCGAUGCAAGCCAGGAGUGAAGGCCCGGGGCCCAACCCCGGGACUGCUCUUGGAACUGCAUGGCUGGAGACCAGGAGG